CUCUGGUCAAUUAAGCGAGAUUAUAAAGGUUUACGGACUUUUAUACGGUGCUACCAGACCAAAGGAGCUCUAUUCCUUCCUCAGAUAAUAAAGAGGUAAAAACAAAAUCAGUAAAAGGCAUUUAGUAGCUUUAGGUGAAAGAUGCCUUUUAUU
rnacentral:ncRNA from 1 species